AAGGACAUGAAGGGUGCGGAUGGGAGGGUUGGAAUCGGCAAGGGAAGUUUCUCCUUCGGAGAUCUCGAGCCAGAGGUUGUGAACGUUCUUGGUGCCAGGCUUUACGCCCCAAGAAGCAAAAGAAUCGGAAGGGAGGCGAGGUUUAAGCCAUUCGGAGAGGGAUUGAGGAGAGGAGAAGGAUUUGGAGCUGGGAAAUUGUGAGAGGGG
rnacentral:misc_RNA from 1 species